AGCAGCCGCGGUAAUUCCAGCUCCAAUAGCGUAUAUUAAAGUUGUUGCAGUUAAAAAGCUCGUAGUUGAAUUUCGGGAUCAAUACGUCGGUCGUGCUUCGGUACGUACUGGCGUAAUUGAUUUCUCCCUUCUGACGAACCAUGAUGUCAUUAACUUGGUGUCAUGGGAAAUCAGGACUGUUACUUUGAAAAAUUAGAGUGUUUAAAGCAGGCUCACGCUUGAAUACAUUAGCAUGGAAUAAUGAAAUAGGACGUUCGAUCCUAUUUUGUUGGUUUUUAGGAUCAACGUAAUGAUUAAUAGGGAUAGUUGGGGGCAUUAGUAUUCAAUUGUCAGAGGUGAAAUUCUUGGAUUUAUUGAAGACUAACUACUGCGAAAGCAUUUGCCAAGGAUGUUUUCAUUAAUCAAGAACGAAGUUAGGGGAUCGAAGACGAUCAGAUACCGUCGUAGUCU
rnacentral:rRNA from 1 species